UCAAGUAAGUCCUGAUAUUCCGUAUGUUGUAGAGUGCGAAACGGGUGGUGUGCCUUUGGAAGAACAAAUAAGUGCAUAGAAAUUAUUUAAACUCUUUCUGAAGCAUGUUAUUUUUGUAUGACUUAAUGCACCUAAAUUAUAUGAUCCAAUAGGUUCACAAAGAGUUUUUCAGAAUCACUGGAGUUAAUCUCAAGGAGAUUGAAUAUACACCAAAGAUCAUCCAACUGUACAGGUCACGUAGUGGAGCUUUUGGAGAGGACUUGAAGACUCUACUGAACAAAAUGGAUGCCCAGAUGACCAAUGUCAUGUUGCAUAGGAAAACAGCAGCUUUGCAAGGCCUACCAUUGUUUGAGGGAGAGCACAGAUUCCUUCUUCAAAUCUUGCUUGGAUACAGAUGUGGAUGGGGUCAACACUCGUGGAGUUCAGAUUGGGAUUUUAACGGUUGCUGAGGACGACACUGCUACCACUGACACAGAUGCCAAUGUAAGGUGUUUUGCUUUGAUUAUUGAGGAGCAGAUUGUUCUUGAUGACCUCCCUGACCUUCUCCCUGACCUUCCCACUGCUAUGGCCCUCCUUUUUGGAUUGAUUUAUUCUUUGAACAUGAAGUAUCCAAAGGAACUGAAAUACAUGUUCGAAACUAUUCAAAAAGUUUUCAUGCGCCUUGAUACCAAUCUUUCUCUUUCUUGCCCUGCAGCGCAUAGUGAACACAGCUGGAAGGAUUAUUGG